GACGAACGCUGGCGGCGUGCUUAACACAUGCAAGUCGAACGCUGAAGCUCAGCUUUUGUUGGGUGGAUGAGUGGCGAACGGGUGAGUAACACGUGAGUAACCUGCCCCCUUCUUUGGGAUAACGCCCGGAAACGGGUGCUAAUACUGGAUAUUCACUGGUCUUCGCAUGGGGGUUGGUGGAAAGGGUUUUUCUGGUGGGGGAUGGGCUCGCGGCCUAUCAGCUUGUUGGUGGGGUGAUGGCCUACCAAGGCUUUGACGGGUAGCCGGCCUGAGAGGGUGACCGGUCACAUUGGGACUGAGAUACGGCCCAGACUCCUACGGGGGGCAGCAGUGGGGAAUAUUGCACAAUGGGCGCAAGCGUGAUGCAGCGACGCCGCGUGAGGGAUGGAGGCCUUCGGGUUGUGAACCUCUUUCGCUCAUGGUCAAGCCGCAACAAUGGUUGUGGUGAGGGUAGUGGGUAAAGAAGCGCCGGCUAACUACGUG
rnacentral:rRNA from 1 species